AGACUACUCCCUUCAUCACAAAAUUAUUUUCUUAGAUUUGUCAAGAUACGGAUGUACCUAAUACUAAAACGUGACCUGAUAAAUCCAUAUUUAGACAAAUCUAAGACAAAAUUUUCGGGACGGAGGGAGUAUAUU
rfam:Triticum aestivum genome assembly, contig: Triticum_aestivum_CS42_TGACv1_scaffold_515504_6BS